GGGCCCUUAGCUCAGCUGGUUAGAGCGCCUGCAUGGCAUGCAGGAGGUCAUGAGUUCAAAUCUCAUAGGGUCCA
rnacentral:tRNA from 1 species